AGUAGGACGCACAGUUUAUACCGUAGCUUGCUACACCAUAGACUGUGAGUUGCGAACGGGUGAGUAACGCGUAGGUAACCUGCCUAUUAGAGGGGGAUAACUAUUGGAAACGAUAGCUAAUACCGCAUAACAGUAUGUAACACAUGUUAGAUGCUUGAAAGAUGCAAUUGCAUCGCUAGUAGAUGGACCUGCGUUGUAUUAGCUAGUAGGUAGGGUAAUGGCCUACCUAGGCGACGAUACAUAGCCGACCUGAGAGGGUGAUCGGCCACACUGGGACUGAGACACGGCCCAGACUCCUACGGGAGGCAGCAGUAGGGAAUCUUCGGCAAUGGGGGGAACCCUGACCGAGCAACGCCGCGUGAGUGAAGAAGGUUUUCGGAUCGUAAAGCUCUGUUGUUAAGGAAGAACGAGUGUGAGAAUGGAAAGUUCAUACUGUGACGGUACUUAACCAGAAAGGGACGGCUAACUACGUGCCAGCAGCCGCGGUAAUACGUAGGUCCCGAGCGUUGUCCGGAUUUAUUGGGCGUAAAGCGAGCGCAGGCGGUUAGAAAAGUCUGAAGUGAAAGGCAGUGGCUCAACCAUUGUAGGCUUUGGAAACUGUUUAACUUGAGUGCAGAAGGGGAGAGUGGAAUUCCAUGUGUAGCGGUGAAAUGCGUAGAUAUAUGGAGGAACACCGGUGGCGAAAGCGGCUCUCUGGUCUGUAACUGACGCUG
rnacentral:rRNA from 1 species